CGCAGCAGAAGCACCUGACGGUGGCCCAGGAGGCCGGCAGAGGACGCCUGAGCAGUGUCAUCGCUGAAGGACAGUUAAAAGUGGACUCUCCCCCCUCACUGUUAAAGUCAGGCAGUGUCUUUAGAAGGAACUCCUGAAAGUUCUACAGAAAACCAGCCCUGAGAACAGUCCUUGGCUCAUCAACGCUUGUCCUUUCACUACUGGAUGGUUUUCCUCAUCUCAGCUGUCAAUCUGAUGCCGUCUGCGGGAAGAGGUGCCUUGGCGGCCCGAGUCUUUCCUUCAAGGAAACUGCUUUGGGAAGGCUAGGAAACCCUGCCUAUCUUGCAUUGACGAUGUCACAUCUAUACCUCAUGUUAAGAAACAAUUGCAACCGCUUUUACCCAGAUCAAGAGCAUGAAGGUUAAGGUUGUGAAUACAGUGCCACAGGGGCCUUCUUCCCUCCCCCAAGAGCGCUUAAACAUUUCAACGGAGGUUCCACUUACCUAAACAAUAAAGAAAAAGAAUCACACCUAGGUUUUCAUGAACAUGUCUCCCUUGGGACAAGGCCAGCUGAGUCUAGCACCAAAGACGCCUUUGAACUUGGCUUGAAAAACUGGACAGCAAGGAGUUCCAUAUACUUCUAAAACAAAAUGUGCCUCUGUAUUUCAUUCCUCAGAGCCCAACUUGUUCAUCUUACCCACCCAUUCGUCCUUGCUUGCAUGUCUCCAUCAUUUAUUCAUUCAACAUUUCUUGGACUCUCAACUUCUAAAGCAGUCGACAUUGCUAUUUUGUUGGAGAUUUCCUUUGGGAUUGGUUAGGGAAGAGAAGCUUUCUAGUUUAAAACAAUUUUAAAUAGAGAAUGAUAUUUUUUUGAGAUGUGCAAGAUGAGGCAAGGGUGAGGAAUGAAGAAGGGGAAGAAGCUGAAUAUGCAACUUCAACAUGCGCGCAGGGCCAGCCUGGCCUUUGCUGCUGUCAGAAAGGCUGUAUAGGCCACGCUCAGUGGAACCUGCCGUGGCGGAUGGCUGGGCCCAGGAGGCCGCACUCCUGCUUGACUGAGCCAGAGGGAGCAAGGAGACCGGAGGGAUGGAAGCCGAGAAGGACUCCACCAACCGCCUGAGCUCAGGGUUCAAGGGAAGCCUCCUGGGGGCUCGCUUGGGGCUCGACACACCAAGACGGUUCUCUGCAGAGGACGAUCCUCGCUCGCAUCUGAUGGAAAGCAGAUGUGGUGUGGCUGGUUCUUUGCUGCGUGUCCCCCUGCUCUGACCGCACACAAUACAUCCCACGCCAGGCCUCCGACUGUCAAGGCCAGAGCCAGGUGCCUGGGCUACGCGUAUCCUUCUCCAUCAGUCAUACUGCAGGGAGCAGACAAUUAAUUCUGGAGCAAAAUUGAAAGUCAGAGGCAGAGUCUGAAAGAACAGAAUGACAAUAAUAAAGUGCCCCAGCCUCGCAUUAAUCUCCCUCACUUCAGGCCUGUCACAGCCGGCCUGGCUGUGACUAAUGCCAAGCUUUGCAUACAGUGGUCACAGACACGAGCAGCGUGCUCCCUUUACAGCGCCUGGGAUGCGCUUUCUUGGGUUUUUGACUGGUGUGCAGUCUCUGCAAAAACAUCGCCUCCGGCCAUAGGAGCAGAGACCUGGUUUGACUGGUAGCAACUGUGUCCCGCUCCCUGUCCUUGGAGUUUCAGCCCAGACACCUUUUCCUUCGGAUGUCUUUGCUGAGAUUUCUGUGAGAUUUUCAAGCAUGGAUCUAUGGUGAUCAUGCCAGCAGCUGGUCUGAAGGUGGAAUGAAUCAGUGCAGCAUUUCCCAGACUUGCCUUGUUGAAAGACACCGGCGGGGAUACUCCAAACCAGGGUUCCA